rnacentral:tRNA from 1 species
GGCUCGUUGGUCUAGAGGUAUGAUUCUCGCUUUGGGUGCGAGAGGUCUCAGGUUCUAAUCCUGGGCUAGCCC